rnacentral:rRNA from 1 species
UACGUAGGGUGCGAGCGUUAAUCGGAAUUACUGGGCGUAAAGAGUGCGUAGGCGGUUCGUUAAGUCAGCUGUGAAAGCCCCGGGCUCAACCUGGGAACUGCGGUUGAAACUGGCGAACUAGAAUCUGGCAGAGGGGGGUGGAAUUCCACGUGUAGCGGUGGAAUGCGUAGAGAUCCGGAAGAACACCGGUGGCGAAGGCGGCCUGCUGGGCAGUUGCUGACACUGAGGCGCGACAGCGUGGGGAGCAAACAGG